rnacentral:ncRNA from 1 species
CUCUUGUACGACCAUGAGUAGCCUAGAGUGGCAUGCGGGGACGGUAACGUCUCCGUGUGAAGCCCGCUCGACAAUGCGUUCCCGUAACACGGCUGGAGUCCCCUGCGAGGGGGGCAUCAGGACUAUCGCCAG